rnacentral:rRNA from 2 species
CAGCCGCCGCGGUAAAACCAGCUCUUCAAGUGGUCGGGAUAAUUAUUGGGCUUAAAGUGUCCGUAGCCGGUUUAGUAAGUUCCUGGUAAAAUCGGGUAGCUUAACUAUCUAUAUGCUAGGAAUACUACUAUACUAGAGGGCGGGAGAGGUCUGAGGUACUACAGGGGUAGGGGUGAAAUCUUAUAAUCCUUGUAGGACCACCAGUGGCGAAGGCGUCAGACUGGAACGCGCCUGACGGUGAGGGACGAAAGCCAGGGGAGCGAACCGGAUUAGAUACCCGGGUAGUCCUGGCCGUAAACGAUGCAUACUAGGUGAUGGCACGGCCAUGAGCCGUGUCAGUGCCGUAGGGAAACCGUUAAGUGUGUCGCCUGGGAAGUACGGUCGCAAGGCUAAAACUUAAAGGAAUUGGCGGGGGAGCAC